rnacentral:tRNA from 4 species
GGCCUUGAAAGUGUAAACAUGUCGAACUGCAAAUUCGAAAAAAGCAGCUUCAAUUCUGCCGGGGCUU